GAGUUUGAUUCUGGCUCAGGAUGAACGCACAAGACGUGCCUAACACAUGCAAAUCGAAUGAAAAUAAUUAAUUAUUGUUUUCAUGGUGAACGGGUGAGUAACACAUAAGAAUCAGCUUCUAGAUAAGGCAUAAAAGAGUAAUAUCUUGGUAAUUCCUUAUAUGCGCAGCAGUGCUUAAAAAGGGGAGUCCCGUCUAAAAACGAGCUUAUGCCUGAUUAGCUAGUUGGCGAGUUAAAAGCUCACCAAGGCGAAGAUCAGUAGCUGGCCUGAGAGGGCGGCCAGCCACAUUGGGACUGAGACACGGCCCAAACUCCUACGGGAGGCAGCAGUGGGGAAUCUUCUGCAAUGGGCGCAAGCCUGACAGAGCGGCGUCGUGUGAAGGAAGAAGGCCUGAAAUAGGUUGUAAACUUCUUUUACUGAGUAAUGAAUAAUGACAACGCAGUAAAAAAGUAUCGGCUAACUCCGUGCCAGCAGCCGCGGUAAUACGGGGGAUGCAAGCGUUAUCCGGAAUAACUGGGCGUAAAGCGUCUGUAGGUGGUUUAGUGUGUUCUUAGUUAAAUUCUGAAGCCUAACCUCAUGAAAAGUAAGAAAACUAUUAGACUUGAGUACGAUAGGGGUAAGAGGAAUUCUUCGAGAAGUAGUGAAAUGCGAAGAUACGAAGGAGAAGAUCAUAAGCGAAGGCUUCUUACUGGGUCGUAACUGACACUGAGAGACGAAAGCUAGGGGAGCGAAUGGGAUUAAAUACCCCAGUAGUCCUAGCUGUAAACGAUGGAUAUUCGGUGCCGGAAAUUUUAUUAGAACAUUUCGGUACCCUAGCUAACGCGNUUAAAUAUCCCGCCUGAGGAGUACGCUCGCAAGGGUGAAACUCAAAGGAAUUGACGGGGGCUCGCACAAGCGGUGGAGCAUGUGGUUUAAUUCGAUGCAAAGCGAAGAACC
rnacentral:rRNA from 1 species